rnacentral:rRNA from 1 species
CCUACGGGAGGCAGCAGUGGGGAAUCUUGCACAAUGGAGGAAACUCUGAUGCAGCGAUGCCGCGUGAGUGAAGAAGGCCUUUGGGUUGUAAAGCUCUUUUGUAGGGGAAGAUAAUGACUGUACCCUAAGAAUAAGGUCCGGCUAACUUCGUGCCAGCAGCCGCGGUAAUACGAAGGGACCUAGCGUAGUUCGGAAUUACUGGGCGUAAAGCGCGCGUAGGCCGUUGAGUUAGUUAAUUGUGAAAUCCCAAAGCUUAGCUUUGGAACUGCAAUUAAGACUGCUCGACUAGAGUUUGAUAGAGGAAAGCGGAAUACAUAGUGUAGAGGUGAAAUUCGUAGAUAUUAUGUAGAACACCAGUCGCGAAGGCGGCUUUCUGGAUCAACACUGACGCUGAGGCGCGAAAGUAUGGGUAGCAAAGAGGAUUAGAUACCCUCGUAGUCCAUACCAUAAACGAUGAUUGCUAGAUGUUGGAAAUUUAUUUUCAGUAUCGCANNACNCAUANANANCNCCNGGAGACGACGCAGUAAACUACAANANANAGNGNGNGAGNGCGACGAGACGACAGAGGAG